rnacentral:tRNA from 1 species
UAGCUCAGUUGGUAAAGAAUCUGCCUGCAAUGCAGGAAACCCUGGUUCAAUUCCUGG